AGAUGCUUGAGUCCGUUUCGUGGUCACCUUGACAUGGUGGGGGUCGUUGGUUCGAGUCCAAUCGCGCCUACCA
rnacentral:tRNA from 1 species